UACGUAGGGUGCGAGCGUUGUCCGGAAUUAUUGGGCGUAAAGAGCUCGUAGGCGGUGUGUCACGUCGGCCGUGAAAACCUGCAGCUUAACUGUGGGCGUGCGGUCGAUACGGGCAUCACUGGAGUUCGGCAGGGGAGACUGGAAGUUCCUGGUGUAGCGGUGAAAUGCGCAGAUAUCAGGAGGAACACCGGUGGCGAAGGCGGGUCUCUGGGCCGAUACUGACGCUGAGGAGCGAAAGCAUGGGUAGCGAACAGG
rnacentral:rRNA from 1 species